rnacentral:lncRNA from 1 species
GGGACGCUGGCUUCCUGAGCCACAGGGCUGCGCCCUCCACCGGGCCGGACUUGGGAGGUGGGCCCUCUGCCUCAGUUCAGACCUCGGUUUCUUAUCUGUGAUGUGAAGGUCUGGGGUGGGGUCAGAGGGUCAAGGAUGCCUCUGAAACGUGAUCUGAAGACGUGGACUCAUUUCCAGGAAAAGCCAGCGCAGUGCGUGUGCACACGUGUGUGACUGUGAACACGCCGUGCCAUGAACGUGUGCACACAGUGUGCAGAGCUGUGCACACGCUGUGGGCUCGGGGGAGUGCGUCCAUGGACACCAGGAGCAAAGCAGUCCAAGCCUUUACGUUGGGGGCUUCUUGAGCCGUGGGCGCACCCCACCAGCAGCGGGUGGACUCCACCAGCACCUUUUCAAAGAGGAAGGAAGGGAGUGGAGGGAGCAGACUUCUGGAGUAGGCUAACGAGAGGAAUGACAAAGGGACAAGCAAGGACGGUGCCUUAACAGGAAAGGAAAGGACUUUCCUGUUCAUUUGUUUCCUGCCCCGGCCGUGGGCGAGCCUCCCCAGCCAGCUCUGGUGACAAGGGCAGCGUCUGUGGCCAACAGGCUGCCUUCUCGGGGCCUCCGGGAGGAGUCCGACAGGCAGCCUGGCUCUGUGUGUCACCGACUCUGCGACCAUGACCCUGGUGAGCUCCCGGGACACCGAGGUCCACUGUGCGUCCUGCAGCUGCGUGUGUGGUGCUGAGGUGCCCAGCCUGGACAGUCCCUCUCUCACGCGCUCCUGCUUCCAGAGCAGCAGGGUUAGCGGGGGCGCCCCACCUCUUUGGUAAUUGUGCUAAUUAGCGCACUGCUCUGUGCCCCUGUGGGAGGCUUGGCUUGCCAGGGACUCUGCAGGGCAAGGCUCCCGGCCACUGCCGGGUCAGAGGACUUGGCGCCGAGUGGAGGGGGUGUGUGUGCCAGCCGGCCUUGGCACGCCGUGGCGUCUCUCCAUACUUGCCAAGAAGUGGAGAACCGUCCAGAUCAGUUGCUUGGGCUCUUUUGGGAUUCAGAAAAGGAAAAAUAAUGGUUCUCUCUCUCUCCCCUGAGCUGACUGUAUGCAAUAUUUUCUUCUGACUUAUUUGUCUAUUUUUGCUCUAAAAUCACAAUGUUUUAGUGAUUCUACAUCUAUGGUAUGUUCUCACAAGUUCUCCCCUCACUAUUGUCUUCUAGAACAAUCAUACUUUCUCACUGUGAACUAUAUAGUAGAUGCAGACCAGCGUAACAACACCUGUGUCCCUGAGCUAUGUCUGGCCUCUGUGGGCCAGGGCAGAGGGCCGUGUCCAGGGCCUCGGA